AUGACUCGUGCUCAGUUUGUAACGAUUUCGAGUCGAUCUCGAGCUAGUUUCGAGCUAAAUAAGAUGAUAAAAAUUAUAAAUCUGUGGAUGAAAAACAAAAAAAAGGUGAAUAUUGUUGGGAACCUUUGCCAAAAAAUAGGAUAUUUAGCACAUAGUCGACCACGUGCCAUAAUUAGGCCUAAAUUUUCUCUGCACUUAAUUAAGUUUUCAUGUCCGUUGGUAAAUAAAAUGAAGAAAAUUAUGAACAACAUAUAUGAUAAUAAAUUAUCUUCUUUUCAUUUAAUAUAUGGCAUGAUCUUUUAA
rnacentral:rRNA from 1 species